rnacentral:snoRNA from 1 species
ACCAAUUCUGGGGGAGAAAAUGAAUGAAUCAGUUCCUCUCGGUGUAAUGGCUCGGGCGCUACACUAAUAACAAAUGUGUGGUUAUCCUGAUCUGUGGCUUUAUCUCUCUUGUGCCAUUCCGAUCCUGGAAACGCCACAUACACAC